AUGUCCAAAUAUUGGUGGGCUGGAUCUCUUGACAGAAAAGGAAUGCAUUGGCAAUCGUGGGAUAAGAUGUGCAUUGCGAAGUCACAAGGAGGGAUGGGAUUCCGAGACUUGGAAAUUUUCAAUGAUGCGAUGUUGGCAAAGCAAGCAUGGAGGAUUCUUGAGAAUCCAAACAGCUUGUGUGCACGAGUGCUUAAAGCACGCUAUUUCCCUCAUGAGGAUUUCCUAACGGCGGGAUGCCCCGCGAGUGCAUCCAAGACAUGGAAAGCAAUCAUCAUAGGGAGAGAGAUGUUGAAGAAGGGACUCAUUCGGCGAAUUGGUAAUGGAGAGACCACCGAAGUGUGGCAUGAUCGAUGGAUA
rnacentral:rRNA from 1 species